AGGGCUUUUCUUCGGGAUUCCUGUCUGUAAUGCUCCUCAAGAAAUUCCAGAAUCACUUCCAAAUCGGUCUGAUAUUCCUGCGGACUGCUCUGGGUUUAACUGUUCUGCAACAUCUGUGUCAAACCUUGGAAUUGCUUCCUGACCGCUGUGGAUGAUAAAAUGUGUCGAACUGUGCUUGAAGAGUAUGAAAAGGUAAUUACAUGUGCACUUUAAUCUUCAGCAUUUAAAAAAAAAAUAUUUAUCUGUAGAAAUUUUUAUUGCAGAAAGAUAAUAACUGAGCACUUAACCAAUAAAAAAAAAAAGUUAGGUUAAAUAUGUAAAUAAUGAACGAAUGAUUAACAGCCUUUAAAUAAGCCUUGUUUUGGUCUCGUCUCUUCCUCGCUAUCUGCCUUUAAAUGUUUGCGUGAAUUGGUUUAUGAAUUUAUGCGUUUCACGCCUGCCAAAGUAUUUACAUUUUCUGCCGAAGCAGUAGCGAGGGCUUUAUCUUUUCAAACAAAGAGCUGCUUUCCUUCCCCUUCUCUUCAACCCCUAUUCAAAAGGGCCAUUAAUACCAAACCCAAUGAGGGAAGGGCAGUAUAACCACAACAUAGCUCCUAUUCAACUUCUUUAUUUACUGGCACUCAAUCAAAAUGAGUUCCCAAAGUGCCUGCGCAGGUAAACAGAUCACUUAAGCUGUCCGAUGAAGUUAACUUCUAUAUCGUGGCUUACUGAUUCUGGGUAAGAAAACAAUACUGCCGUAAUUGUUGAUGUUAGGCCUGGCUCGAGUCCUUUGUGUAUUUAAUAGCGGAGCUUUAUGGCGAAACAUUUCAGCUCUAUUCAGUGAACAGCAGGCCCGAACCUUACCUGAUGUUUAAAUAGUUACAUUGCUUUUAAUCUUAAGGGCAGCUUAAAUAAAUAAUUUGUUUUUAUGCAUUUAUGUCUGUUUGAUCAUUAAAAGACAAUUCUGUUUAAAUUCGAGCCGCUGAAAUUUUAUUUGGUUCUGUUUGUUUGUUUUACAAAAAUAAGUUUAAUAAUACAUAGAAAUGUUACAUUCUGUCAUAAUGUUUUCGUUUUGUCAUGUUUGUUUGAGUGUUUGCUUUACAAAAGUCAUUCAUUUUAUUCCUUUUAUGCUUAAGACAAUUAUUAAGCGUGCAUUAAUUUAUUACAAAGCAAACAAACUGUAUUCAUGUAUUUAUUUAUUCAUUUAUAUUUUAAAUAAUGACUUUGUUCACUUAAUUCGAAAUCAAACUGUAAAACAAACGCAAUACGCUGCAUUUUCAAAUGUUUGCAUGCAACAGUCUGAUAGUUUUAUGAUAAGUCGAUCAACUGUCAUAUAAUUCCAUAACUGGAACACACCCAGAAUAGUUUUUUUUCCUCAUAGGUUUUUUCCAGUUUUCCACUGAACUGUGGAAGUACCAAAAACCAUGGAAGCCAGUGGCUACAGUUUGGUUAAGUAGACGUCUAGACUGCACUGUAUAGGCUUUUGCAAUAUUAUCCUGCAUUUGCAUAUUCACUUUUACAAAAAAUAAACCUUCUUUAUUGGCAUUACGCUUCCACGAAAAAAUGUUCUAUUCUGUAUAGUGAAAAAUAAAAUGUUGAUCGUUAAAUGAAUUUUGACAAAAAAAAGGUUCUUAAGAUUCUUUAAUUAUUCCUUUGCUAUGAAAAUAUCGAAUACCGGUUUUCAAUGCAAAACGAACACCAUUAGCUUGUUCAAAUUCAGCAAAAAUAAAAGGUUACUCGUUCUGUUUUCAUGACUGUAUGCAAAUCUUCAACUUGAGGUAAUUGUUUAUUGGCACAGCAAUAAAAGUUUUCGGAUUAAACUAAUUCGAACGAUGUCUUGCCACAAUCUUUGGAGAACCGGAAAAUUAUAUUUACAGAAACAGAGGGAGUGUGCUAUAUAUAUACUUCGAUCGUUAUUUGGAUGAAAAACAAUGAUUAUGCAUGGCUUUCUUGUAGAAGUGCCUCAGGUAAUUGCUCAAAAACAUUCCAAUUUAACAUGACACCAAACCUGAAGCAAAAUAGUAACCGUUUUUUUAGCACGGCACUUCAUUUGAUCAUAUACAGCUCUGUGUGUGUGUGUGUGUGUGUGUGUGUGUGUGUGUGUUUCCCCUUUAGGAAAGCCCUACAGCUAUGUGGAUCCCUCAACAGCUAGAUAUUGAUCAUUAUUGCACAUGUAAGGGAAUUCCCCUUAAAAAAGAGCAACUCGCUUUGGUGUCGUGUUAACCGAGAUAGAAGAUAUACAAAUUCAGUUAAAUGCUCGAAAAAGACAGGACAGCAAACAACAACAACAACAACAAAAAGGUAAUUAAAUGACAUUGUGCAAAAUCAAGCAAACCGAACUUUCACGCACUUUAUAACUGCUAAAUCACAUUGAGCGUCUUCUACUGAUCACUUUCAUUUCUCGAACAGGUUCAAGGCUCUCGAGCACUUCAUGAUAAAUGCAACUGUGUGUUUUAAAAGGCAUCGGAUGUAAACAAAUGCGGAAGCCCUUUACCUUUAUAUGCUUUUAAGGACCAUAAAUCCUGACUUUGUAACAAAUGAUAGAUAAAUAAUUCACAAUUAAAGUGCUAUUUCAAUUGGCUACAGGUUUUUUUUUUUUUUUUUUUUUGGCCAAAUUACAUGCUAAAUUUAUGUUUACCGGCCCAAGGAAUCAUGCUGUGUAACGAUUGUAAUUUUGCCAAACUGUACUACAAAAAGGGCAAGGCAAUACAUUUCUAACCUUAUGAUGGAAUUUGAGUAAAUGCAAGUCAAGGAAUUUAGACUUUAAUUAUAUAUAUAUAUGUGUGUGUGUGUGUGUGUGUGUGUGUGUGUGUGUGUGUGUGUGUCCCAAAUAACAUAUCU